rfam:Erythrobacter sp. AP23 contig1, whole genome shotgun sequence.
GACGCGGACCGGGCCCCUCUGGCGAGCUUUUGCUCGUGAUGUCGGACGUAUACU